CGGACAUGUAUGAAAAAUCUUAUAUGCACCGGGACGUUAUUACUCACUGCUUAGUUACUCCAAAAACUAACUUUGUAGUGACUGCGAGCGUUGACGGGCAUGUCAAGUUUUGGAAAAAAAGUGAAGGAGGCAUUGAAUUUGUGAAGCAUUAUAAAUGCCAUCUCGAAGCCAUAUCGGGCGUCUGCUGUACUGCUGAUGGGCUUUUUCUUUGCACCAUUUCUUCCGAUAAAUUCCUUAAAAUUUUUGACGUCAACAGUUUUGAUCUCAUUAAUAUUGUGGCGUUGCCCUUUUUGCCUUCGGCAUGUGCGUGGAUCCACCAAUCAUCUUCAGUUAUUCAACGUUUGGCCAUAGGCGCUGAAACUGAUUCGAAAAUCCGCAUUUAUGAUUCGCAAAGUACAGGCGAAUUUUCUAGUGAAAUUGAGAUACAUUUGGACUCCGUUUUUUUA